GACGAACGCUGGCGGCGUGCUUAACACAUGCAAGUCGAGCGGUAAGGCCCUUUCGGGGGUACACGAGCGGCGAACGGGUGAGUAACACGUGGGUGACCUGCCCUCAGCUCUGGGAUAAGCCUGGGAAACCGGGUCUAAUACUGGAUAUGACUCCAUGACGCAUGUUGUGGGGUGGAAAGCCUUGUGCGGCUGAGGAUGGGCCCGCGGCCUAUCAGCUUGUUGGUGGGGUGAGGCCUACCAAGGCGACGACGGGUAGCCGGCCUGAGAGGGCGACCGGCCACACUGGGACUGAGACACGGCCCAGACUCCUACGGGAGGCAGCAGUGGGGAAUCUUGCGCAAUGGGCGAAAGCCUGACGCAGCGACGCCGCGUGAGGGAUGACGGCCUCGGUGUAAC
rnacentral:rRNA from 1 species